UCCAAUAUAUGGGUCCCAUCCCAUUGUAACACUAAUUGAGAACUUCCCGUCUGGAGGAAAGAAGAGAAUGAAUGACAUGCAACAUUGGACCCUAAACAGAACCAAUGACAAACCUGUGAGCUCACAAGCACACUUCUGGAGAACCUGGCUACCAGAGAAGUGUUACUUCCAAGCUGUAAAAUCACUCAGCAGGUCCCUGCAACUGAUGCAACCUUUACUUUAAGAGAAUAGGAGGACAUCAUGUUCAUAAAGAAACCUUGGAUCUCGAACGUACCUAAAAAGCAGCUUAAAGUCCUUGGAGCAAACAGUACAGCUGAGAAAUGUUACACCAGUUGGGUGUCAAUCCAUAAAACCCGUUCUAGAGAAAAUCGUGGAGG
rnacentral:lncRNA from 1 species